rnacentral:SRP_RNA from 1 species
GCUGGCAUGUUCCUGUAGUCCUAGCUACUUGGGAGGCUGAGGCGGGAGGAUCGCUUGAGCCCAGGAGUUCUGGGCUGUAGUGCGCUAUGCUGCUAUGCUAAUCAGGUGGCCGGUUCGGCAUCAGUAUGGUGACCUCCUGGGAGCAGGGGACCACCAGGUUGCCUAAGGAAGUCAGAAAUGGAGCAGGUCAGAAAUGGAGCAUGUCAAAACUCUCAUGCUGAUCAGUGGUGGGAUCAUGCCUUUGAAUAGCUACUGUACUCUAGCCUGGGCAAUGUAGUGAGACCCCACCCCAU